GGAUCCAGACUUUGAUCCUGGCUCAGGAUGAACGCUAGCUACAGGCUUAACACAUGCAAGUCGAGGGGAAACGACAUCGAAAGCUUGCUUUUGAUGGGCGUCGACCGGCGCACGGGUGAGUAACGCGUAUCCAACCUGCCCACCACUUGGGGAUAACCUUGCGAAAGUAAGACUAAUACCCAAUGACGUCUCUAGAAGACAUCUGAAAGAGAUUAAAGAUUUAUCGGUGAUGGAUGGGGAUGCGUCUGAUUAGCUUGUUGGCGGGGUAACGGCCCACCAAGGCAACGAUCAGUAGGGGUUCUGAGAGGAA
rnacentral:rRNA from 1 species